UACAGAGGUCCCAAGCGUUGUUCGGAUUCACUGGGCGUAAAGGGUGCGUAGGCGGUCGGGUAAGUCUGACGUGAAAUCCCUCGGCUCAACCGGGGAACUGCGUGUGAUACUGGCGGGCUUGAAUUCGGGAGAGGGAUGUGGAAUUCCAGGUGUAGACAGUGGAAAUGACGUAGAUAUCGAGAGGAACACCAGUGGCGAAGGCGAGUCUCUGGACAUUCCUGACGCUGAGGCACGAAAGCCAGGGGAGCAAACGGG
rnacentral:rRNA from 1 species